rnacentral:rRNA from 1 species
UACGUAGGUGGCGAGCGUUGUCCGGAAUUACUGGGUGUAAAGCGCGUGUAGGCGGGAGGCCAAGUCUGCGGUGAAAUCGCUCGGCUCAACUGGGCGGGGUCCGUGGAAACUGGUCACCUGGAGGACGGUAGAGGCGAGUGGAAUUCCCGGUGUAGUGGUGAAAUGCGUAGAGAUCGGGAGGAACACCAGUGGCGAAGGCGGCUUCCUGGUCCAGCACCGACGUUUCAGGCACGAAAGCGUGGGGGAGCAAACAGG